rnacentral:lncRNA from 1 species
UCUUCAAGUCCAAGCCCAAUUUUGGAUUCAAGCCUAAUGCUUCAUUAAUUCCUGAAAUUAGAUUAAAAACAUCAAAUUAGCUGAAUGAGCCCAAAUAAUAAAAUUGCCUAAUUAAUUUGAAAAUUAAGACUAAUUAGUAAUUAAAAUGGUGCAAAAAGGGUUAAGAAAUAGGAGGAAAAAAUGGCACAUCAUAGACUAAAUACAAUGUACGUCAAGUACACCCAGUGGAGGUUACAGAGGACCG